rnacentral:rRNA from 1 species
UGGAAACACGGGGGUGCCCCUUCGGGGGAGCCUGGAGACAGGUGCUGCAUGGCUGUUGUCAGCUCGUGUCGUGAGAUGUUGGGUUAAGUCCCGCAACGAGCGCAACCCUUGCCUUUAGUUGCCAGCAUUCAGUUGGGCACUCUAAAGGGACUGCCGGUGUAAAACCGGAGGAAGGUGGGGAUGACGUCAAGUCCUCAUGGCCCUUAUGCCCAGGGCUACACACGUGCUACAAUGGCCGGUACAAAGGGCAGCGAGCCCGCGAGGGUCAGCAAAUCCCAAAAAGCCGGUCUCAGUUCGGAUCGGAGUCUGCAACCCGACUUCGUGAAGGUGGAAUCGCUAGUAAUCCCGGAUCAGCAUGCCGGGGUGAAUACGUUCCCGGGCCUUGUACACACCGCCCGUCACACCACGAAAGCUGG